rnacentral:rRNA from 1 species
CGGACGGGUGAGUAAUGUCUGGGAAACUGCCUGAUGGAGGGGGGUAACUACUGGAAACGGUAGCUAUACCGCAUAACGUCGCAAGACCAAAGAGGGGGACCUUCGGGCCUCUUGCCAUCGGAUGUGCCCAGAUGGGAUUAGCUAGUAGGUGGGGUAACGGCUCACCUAGGCGACGAUCCCUAGCUGGUCUGAGAGGAUGGCCAGCCACACUGGAACUGAGACACGGUCCAG